rnacentral:rRNA from 1 species
CCAGCCCGCUCAGAAACUCAAAUGAAUGACGGGGCCGCACAAGCGGUGGAGUAUGUGGUUAAUUCGAUGCAACGCGAAGAACCUUACCUGGUCUUGACAUCCCGGAGACCCUUAGGAAACUAGGGGGUGCUUCCAUCUGGAAGAAUCUGGAGACAGGUGCUGCAUGGCUGUCGUCAGCUCGUGUCGUGAGAUGUUGGGUUAAGUCCCGCAACGAGCGCAACCCUUGCCUUUAGUUGCCAGCAGUUCGGCUGGGCACUCUAAAGGGACUGCCGGUGUUAAACCGGAGGAAGGUGGGGAUGACGUCAAGUCCUCAUGGCCUUUAUGACCAGGGCUACACACGUACUACAAUGGCCGAUACAAAGGGCAGCGACACUGCGAGGUGAAGCCAAUCCCGUAAAAUCGGUCUCAGUCCGGAUUGGAGUCUGCAACUCGACUCCAUGAAGUUGGAAUCGCUAGUAAUCGUGGAUCAGCAUGCCACGGUGAAUACGUUCCCGGGCCUU